rnacentral:rRNA from 1 species
CCUGGCGGCACUAGCGCGGUGGUCCCACCUGACCCAAUGCCGAACUCAGAAGUGAAACGCCGUAGCGCCGAUGGUAGUGUGGGGUCUCCCCAUGUGAGAGUAGGGAACUGCCAGGC